ACCUCCGCCUCGGCCGUCAGAGUCAGCGUCUCCCGGGUGAGCUCGGCGGACACUCGGAUCCAGCGGUCCCGGAGCAGAAGGUCCAGUUGGCCGUUUUUGUCCGCUCGGGUCCAGACCGCCAUUCCCCUCCCGCGAUCAUCUGACCUGUGACCUCUGACCUUUGACCUGCUGGCUGAAACAUGCAGGAGAGAAAGGUUCCACGUGGGAUCAUCAGGAUAAAUCUACAGUUCAACAAAAACUGAACAUUACAGGAUGAUUUGUUUUCAUGAUACAGUCGUGUUCAGAUGAAAAGAUGAAUAUCUCAAGUUAGUGACAGAAAACCUUUUCCACGAUAACCUAAUCUGGAGCGUUUCCUGUCCAGCAGCCACCUGAACAGUUUCCUUCAUUUGUCUUGUUCCAGGGUUUUCUACAAAAUAAGAGAAACGCUUUGAAUUCACCUCAUGGAGGAAAUAAAAAAAAAAACAUUUAUAAAGUGAAAGAUUAAAACCUUCCAUUUGUUCAUGAGGAGCCAGAAGUGACGAGUUAAACUCACAGACGCAGAAGAGCUCGUGUUUGUUGUUGGGUUUUAUUGCAGUCGAGGUUUUUCUAGUGUUUACAACAAAAAAAAACAGAGCAGAUUACAACAGCUGAGAGAGAGAGAGAGAGACAGAGAGAGAGCGAAAGAGAGAGAGAGACAGAGACAGAGAGAGAGAGAGAGUUCCAUCAGUCAAUCAGUCAACCAGCCGCUCUACAUUCACAGUGUCGUCACCAUCCAACCUCAGCCGCUCGUUCCCGGGACUUUUGAAAGCAGCAGGCGCUCGUUGGAUAAAUCCCUUUUUAAGGAUGAUUUUAAAAUAAAAGUUAAUAU